rnacentral:rRNA from 1 species
UACGUAGGGACCAAGCGUUGUCCGGAAUCAUUGGGCGUAAAGCGCGCGUAGGUGGCCAUUUAAGUCCGCUGUGAAAGUCAAAGGCUCAACCUUUGAAAGCCGGUGGAUACUGGAUGGCUAGAGUACGGAAGAGGCGAGUGGAAUUCCGGGUGUAGCGGUGGAAUGCGUAGAGAUCCGGAAGAACACCGGUGGCGAAGGCGGUCUGCUGGGUCGAACUGACGCUGAGGCGCGACAGCGUGGGAGCAAACAGG